rnacentral:rRNA from 1 species
ACUCCCUACGGGAGGCAGCAGUGAGGAAUAUUGGUCAAUGGUCGGGAGACUGAACCAGCCAAGCCGCGUGAGGGAUGAAGGUACAGAGUAUCGUAAACCUCUUUUGUCAGGGAACAAAGGCGGGGACGCGUCCCCGGAUGAGUGUACCUGAAGAAAAAGCAUCGGCUAACUCCGUGCCAGCAGCCGCGGUAAUACGUAGGGGGCGAGCGUUAUCCGGAUUUACUGGGUGUAAAGGGAGCGUAGACGGCGUCGCAAGUCUGAAGUGAAAGCCCGUGGCUCAACCGCGGAACCGCUUUGGAAACUGG